rnacentral:rRNA from 1 species
UACGGGGGGGGUAAGCGUUGUUCGGAAUUACUGGGCGUAAAGGGCGCGUAGGCGGCCACCUAAGUCAGACGUGAAAUCCCUCGGCUCAACCGGGGAACUGCGUCUGAUACUGGGUGGCUUGAAUUCGGGAGAGGGAUGCGGAAUUCCGCGUGUAGCAGUGAAAUGCGUAGAUAUGCGGAGGAACACCGGAUGGCGAAGGCAAUCCCCGUGGACCUGUACUGACGCUCAUGCACGAAGCGUGGGGAGCAAACAGGAUUAGAAACCCUCGGU